GUAGGUGGCAAGCGUUGUCCGGAAUUAUUGGGCGUAAAGCGCGCGCAGGCGGUUCUUUAAGUCUGAUGUGAAAGCCCACGGGCUCAACCGUGGAGGGUCAUUGGAAACUGGAGAACUUGAGUACAGAAGAGGAAAGCGGAAUUCCACGUGUAGCGGUGAAGUGCGUAGAGAUGUGGAGGAACACCAGUGGCGAAGGCGGCUUUCUGGUCUGUAACUGACGCUGAGGCGCGAAAGCGUGGGGAGCAAACAGGAUUAGAUACCCUGGUAGUCCACGCCGUAAACGAUGAGUGCUAAGUGUUAGGGGGUUUCCGCCCCUUAGUGCUGCAGCUAACGCAUUAAGCACUCCGCCUGGGGAGUACGGCCGCAAGGCUG
rnacentral:rRNA from 1 species